rnacentral:rRNA from 1 species
UACAGAGGGGGCAAGCGUUGUUCGGAAUUACUGGGCGUAAAGGGCGCGUAGGCGGCCUUCUAAGUCAGACGUGAAAUCCCUCGGCUCAACCGGGGAACUGCGUCUGAUACUGAAAGGCUUGAAUCCGGGAGAGGAAUGUGGAAUUCCAGGUGUAGCGGUGAAAUGCGCAGAUAUCAGGAGGAACACCGGUGGCGAAGGCGGGUCUCUGGGCCGAUACUGACGCUGAGGAGCGAAAGCGUGGGGAGCGAACAGG